rnacentral:lncRNA from 1 species
UCGCGCGCACGCAGAUCGCUCACGUGGCCCGUUCCCGGGUCGAUGUCAUCUUGCCACGCGGCAGGUCCUGGUUGGCCAGGGCUGCUGACUGGACCGCUGACGUGGCGCUGACAGGGCACAAUUUUUUUAAAUUGCGUUUUGACCCCCAGUUUCUGAUUUUCUUUUCAAAAAUACCCCCAGAAUCCUAAUUUUCACCCCUUUUUCCCAAAAUCAAUUUCAAUUAAAUCC